ACCCAAUUCAAGUCUCUAAAUCACAAUUACUGGCCGACGCGCCGGAACCAAAGCGUUGACGCUUGAGUUUCCGGGCGGAGGCGCCAGUAUGUUGCGAGGGGCCGAUUGCUUCCGCCUGGCGGAAGUCUAUCAGGAGAGGACCGCGAACGCCGGGACUGCGAAAAAGCGAGGAGUGUAUGACGUCCUCGUCGCCAGGGAGCUUGAGCUGCUGAGAUUCGGGAGGCCACGCUAGCUCUGUUGGGGCGACCAAGCGAGUUGGAGACUUCAGUCGUGUUUGUACACGCGCCGAUGCUUGUCCCCUUGUUGAUGAUGGAGAGUUUUCGUAGAAAUUGUGACCAAUCAGAAUCCUGAAGUUGCAGAAGAAUGGAGUGAACCUAAUGUGUAAAGCAAGUGACCUGAAUUGUGCACGGGGGUAGAGCACAGCAGACAAUGUUGGUGCUCUGUCCAGAUCUCCUUUUGUUGGCUCGGUGUACUCAUUCUUCUCCAACUGCCGCAUGUGAUGCUACUGAUGCACCCGCACCAUUUUCAAGAGGCUUGCCUCCGGGAGAUUGGAGCAGCAUCAUCAGGAGAUAGCUGGAAGUUACGCACUACUUAUCCCCCUAGCAGCCUGUAAGGCAGUGACUGCCUAAUGCGUGAGAUGGAGGUGCAAAAACCUCAUUCCCCUGCUCUGAGGUGGGAAAGACCGUGGUGUGGUGUAUGCGUCAGAGCUCCUGGAGAUUUGGGGCUGAGGCUAGACCCAGCUAAAACCACAGUCUUGCUUUGCUUCUGCCAUUGGUCUCUUCUGUUGCCCCUCAUUCCCUUACAGAUUUUUUUUUUCUUUUUUCUUCUACAGUUUUGAGUUUGAACCUUAAAAGAUGCUGUUGAUACGUGGAUUGGUCUAAAACAGGCCGCCUGGGGUUGUGUUUGGGCCAAGAUUUCUCAUGUAAUUAUGUAAUGUCUCUCUUAAUAAAAAACUUGAUUAUAUCUUU